UACGGGGGGGGCAAGCGUUGUUCGGAAUUACUGGGCGUAAAGGGCGCGUAGGCGGCCAUCUAAGUCAGACGUGAAAUCCCUCGGCUUAACCAAGGAAGUGCAUCCGAAACUGCAGAGCUUGAGUACUUAAGAGGAUCGCGGAAUUCCCGGUGUAGAGGUGAAAUUCGUAGAUAUCGGGAGGAACACCAGUGGCGAAGGCGGCGAUCUGGGAAGAUACUGACGCUGAGGUGCGAAAGCGUGGGGAGCAAACAGG
rnacentral:rRNA from 1 species